rnacentral:rRNA from 1 species
GGUUCGUAGGUGACCUGCGGAGGAUUAUUAUAGCGAUCAUUGGCGCAUGCCGCCUCGCCAUGGUGCUGGCGGCUCUAUAACGCAACCCUUGCCUUUUCUGAAGCACCGUUAUUUGAUCCCUCGGCGGCCUCGCCCGCCAACAGGGACCUUGAAAACACUUGCAAUCCCAGUAUAACCUUCUGAAAUAACCUAAAUCUCUUAAAACUUUCAACAAUGGAUCUCUUGGCUCUGGCAUCGAUGAAGGACGCAGCGAAAUGCGAUAAGUAGUGUGAAUUGCAGAAUUCAGUGAAUCAUCGAAUCUUUGAACGCACAUUGCGCCCUUUGGCAUUCCUUAGGGCAUGCCUGUUCGAGCGUCAUUUCAAAAUUCAAGCUCAGCUUGGUGAUGGGUGUCUGUCCUGCCUUGCGCGUGUGGACUCGCCUCAAAAGCAGUUGGCAGCUUCCUCCAUGGGCUCUAAACGCAGCAGAUUUGCGUCGCGUGCUCUGGAGCGAGGCUUUCCAGCAAAGCAAAAAACCCCCGGAAUCGACCUCGGAUCAGGUAGGGAUACCCGCUGAACUUAAGCAUAUCAAUAAGCGGAGGA